UGUACCUAUGCGAUAUAAUUUCCAAGGACAAGUUUGAUACGGUGAAGAUGCCAUUGUAAGACAAUUUAAACUCUUAUUCAUUAACAAAUUGACAGUUCUGGUGUAUUUUGAAUAUAUAGAUUAAUACACACAAAAAUUAUGCCAGAUUUUUUUCAGAAACCACUGUAGUCGAUUCAUUGAUAAUGUAUUUCUUUAAAUGAACAGAUUACCUCAUGACAGAGAUCAAAAUUACAGUUGGUAUGGCCAUCCCACCGUUCAAAUCGAGAAGCUAUACGCAGGUAUAGGAAAAAAAGACUUCAAGAUGUCCGAUUGACUUGAAAAUUCGUGGACGCAUCAAGGAUCGAUGAUAGAAAAAUGUUUUUUAUCUUUGUUCUAAUACCGUGACGUGACGUCAUCAGCUAAAAAAAAUUGUCAGUUCUUUUUUUUGUUUUUUUAAUCUACUAAUAUAUUAUUUAAGCUCA